AAAUGGAAAAAAAAUGAAAAAAAAAAAAAAAAAUAAAGAGAAAAAAUGAGAAAAAGUGAAGGAGAGAAGAAGAAAACUGAAAAAAAAGCCAACCUGAUGUUGACUUCAAGGAGAUGUUGAACCUGCUGGCAACAAAAUGGAAGACAAUUAGAGAAGUCGCGAAAGAAAACAAGAAAACAAAGAAGGAAAAGAACUCAUUAAGUCGGAACAUCCUAUAUCAUACUGAUUGUAGAGAGGUUGUGAAGACUGCUGAUGAGGGUUGGACAUGCAGGACUUAUCCAAGGAAAAAAAAAAAAAAACAAGAACGAAAAAAGAAGAAAUACAAAGAGAGAAGGAAAGCAUCAAAUGCUGAAAUGUUGCGCACUUAUGCUACUGGCCUGCUGGCUGCAUGCCUGAAGAAUGGUGGUCAGCUAGUGGAAGAUGUGUUGACAUCUGGUUUAUCAGCUAAACUAAUGUGAUAUCUAGAGUACGGGUUUUUGGCGACACAAACACAUACCAAAAGGAUUCUAAUGUAUCGUCUUGACAACAAAAGGGGGUCCAGCAUGGCUCUAAAGGCCAAAGAGGAUGGCAGGGGUAGGUCAAAGCAAGUGACAGAGAGUUAUCACAUGGAUACAGAGAGUAUCAGAGCCUAUCCUACUGAGAGUGAACGUGUUAAAGAUCCCACAUCUAUGGACAACCUUGAUGGAUGAACGUGAUAAAGAUCCCACAUCUAUGGGGAUGUGUACUGGGGUGAUGAGGAACAUCUUGAUCCUGAGGUUGAUGCAUAUGUUGCUGAAGCAGAUAGUGACGAGAAGUGCAAUAUUAGGGAACUCUGCCAGUCAAAAGAAAAACCUGGUGGAAAAUCUCAUAGGGAAGAAGACUUUGAAGGAGUAUUGAUCGCAAUCAAGAGGUAGGCCCAAUGAAGGAGUUUCUGAGAAUGCCUCUCCAGGUUCUGCCAUUAGAUCUGGAGUGGGACGGAAUGGGAAAGAAAAGAGUCCGGUGAGAAGUCAAGAACCGAGAAAAGCUUUUGAUGCUAAAAAUGGUUUAGGUAGAAACAAUGGCGAUUCUUUCAUCCUUGCAAGGGAUGAUACUGAUGAUUGCUUCCAACAAUGCAAGGUUGGCUCCAAAGACAUUACAGAGGUUGGUUUGAAAGCAAUCAGAGCUGCUGUGCCGAAGCAAGAACAGCCCAUGCACUUGCCUGUGCCAUUAAGGCUGCAGGUACUGCUGCUGCUGAGGUCGUUAAGACAGCUGAUUAGAGUGCAGGAAUACAAGAAGACGAAUGAUGAAGAAGCUAUUGUGGUUGAUGCAUCCAGAACUUCAUCCCACUGUUAUGGAUGCUGCUAGUGCAGUUGCUCUUGCAAGGUUGGUGGUCCUAUGCUUCAUGAGAGGUCUUUUACUGAUGAAAAGACUCCUUGCGACUCCUAGAAAUGCCCAUACAUAUGAGGGAUUCUUCCUGCUUAUGAACUAUUGGGUCAUUUCAGGUGAUAAUGGAGCGUGUUUGUUCUCUUCAGCCAAGCUUUACCCUCGAUAUAUAUAUAUAUAUAUAUAUUUGGCUGCAUAACCUCUUGGCUAUCUACUUUGAUUAUAUAUAUUGUGAUCCAAUCUGGAAAAACAUUGGAUAAUACAGGCAUAAUGUUCAUACCUGACCUUAAUCUUGUCAGAUUUGUACAUGCUCUUUUUGAGAUUAUAUUAUGUUCCAUUAUGGGCGUGCAAGUACUAUAGCAGCUAGUGAUGCAGCCACCCCCACUUUGAGACGCAUUAAAAGGGCAUUCCUGCUGCUACUCCAGUUUCUUAUCAUUCCAGGGUUUAUCCAUGAGCACCUUCAAUCAUCUGGAUUAGCUGAGUGUGCAUCUUUGCUUCUCAAAGAGGUUAAGUUAUCACCAAUUGGCUGCUCCAUCAUCCUUAGCACAACAUGCAUCUCGGCAGGAGUUGUCAUCAAUACAAAUGCAAUGGCCAUCUGAAUGAGCAACUUGUGGAUUCUUGUUGGAUAGACCAUAAACAACAAAGCAAGCUUUUGUUCACAAAAUGUUUCUGUAGGUGGAGAUGUUUCGGGAACACCAUUAGUGUCUACUAGCGAAGUCAAGUAGCGACCCAGACAAUCAGAUAAGAACUCCAAUAGCGUUGCCAACGGAAUGGAAAUUAACAGACAUGAAGGAAAAUGGGUUUGGAUCAUUGGCAAAGCUGGUGAACGUACACUCAGACCAUAUCGAUUCGAACUUGUUAUGCACACCGUCUGUUGAGAGUUUGUUAACCAGUCCGACGUAUUUAUCCUCAUGUCUGCCCUGAGCCAAGCAUUCAAUGUUUGCAGCACUGCGAUCAGAUUCAUCCCGGCAUUAAAUCCUUGUGUAUGAUGAUAUGCAGUCUUGUCGAUUGGAUCUGACACUGACUGAUACUUCUAAUAACCCAUCCCGACAUGAUCAUGGAUAUGAUCAUGCAUAUUGACUCAAUGCUGCUUUGGAAUGGAGUUCUGUGGGAUCGCAGGAUCAAUCUAUCGAUUUUAUCAAUUUACUGCCUAUGAUGGUGGGGGCUUCCCUUCUGCUGGGAAUGAGGUAUUUGUAAUGUUAAUUAUAUUAUGAUUUAAAGUUUUAAUUUAAACUUGUAAUAAAUUCCUUGAUAUGAACAAAGAUUUUCGAUAUCCAAGAUGAGAUGCAUGCUUCUGCUGGAUGAAAUCGGAAGGCGCAAGCCAAUAGAUGAUGACUCUGGUAACUUCUAUCUUCAGGUAUUGCUAUUUAUUUAUUUUUAACAUUAAUAUACUCCAUCAUAUAGGGCCUUAAGAUUUGAGUAGAUGCUCACACUCUUUCGUUAAACAUGAUGAGAAUGUGCUUUGUGUGUUUGUUUUUCGUUUAACUAUAUAAGCAUAUGCAUACAUUUUGUGGUCAAAAUAGUAGAGUCAUAUAUUUAUAUUAGUUUUGGGAGAAGUCGGAAUGGAUCCUGCAAUUGUUCGUUAGGAUUGUAUAUAUAUAUAUAUGAAAUUUAGGGUAGGAUUGUAUCCAGUUGGCUGUAGAGUGGGUUUUUACCCUCUGUCAAAACUUAGCUGCUAUGCAUUUGUUCUUUUUUAGAAAAGCUAACUUUUAUCCUCAAUUUCUCUUUCUGCAGAAGAACGAAGAAUUUUUCGAAUUGAUAUCUUCAAAAUUUCUAGCUGAACGCAGCUAUUGCAAGGCUUAUUUACAGUUGUUUGUUAACUUAUUAAUCUAUUUGUAUGUAUUGCAGACUCGUCCAGUUGAGCGCUAUUUGCAUGAUUUACUCCAAUAUAGACUCGGUGUAUUGCAGGUUGUAACUUUGGUUGCAAAUCUAUUGUGACUGCUACAUUGACCAAUGAUUGGGUUGGUAUAGCUGUCAUUUUGAAUGCUGCAAAUGGUGCUGGUUUUGUUGAAGCUGAGGCUUAUCCAUGGCAAUCUGGAUUAGCUGAGAAUGCGGAAAUUAACAGACAUGAAGGAAUGGGUUUGGAUCAUCGGCAAAACUGGUGAACAUACACUCAGACCACCUGGUUUUUCAACAUCAAAUUCUGCUCGUAGAAGUGGUCUGCUGGUUGAUUCGAACAUACACUGAGGGCGAGGAAGACGAGAUGAUAAUGACAGUGUGGUUCUUGAAUCUUUCAGCAGCGAUGAUCUUCUGUGAUCGAUCCUUCUUAAAGCUGCAAUCCUGCAGCUGAUGGCAUAGCUGAAACUCUGGCCUUCCUUGGCUGCUCCAUCAUCUUUAGCACAACACGCAUCUGGGUAGGAGUUGUCAUCAAUACAAAUGCAAUGGCCAUCUGAAUGAGCAACUUGUGGAUUCCUGUUGGAUAGACCAAACCUAUUCCAGCUCAAUCUCUGCUGCUCGUAGUUCCUCGAAAAAUCUGGACAACCCGGUGCCCAUAAACAACAAACCAAGCUUUGGUUCACAAAAUGUUUCUGUAGGUCGAGAUGUUUCAGGAGCACCAUUAGUGUCUAUUGGGAAAUCAAGUAGCGAGGUCCUCAGCGGCUCACUUUAGAUUCAAUUUCUGUUCAAUAUACAACAUUACCUCGUUUUUUGUUCUUGCAUCUUCAUGUCUGCCCUGAGCCAAGCAUUCAAUGUUUGCAGCACUGUGAUCAGAUUUAUCCUGGCGUUAAAUCCUUGUGUAUGAUAUCCGGUCUUGUCAAUUGGAUAUGACACUGACUGAUACUUCUAAUAACCCGUCCGGACAUGAUCAUGGAUGUGAUCAUGCAUAUUCUUUUGUUCACUUUAACCCAUCCGACUAAA